CCUACGGGAGGCAGCAGUGGGGAAUAUUGGACAAUGGGCGGAAGCCUGAUCCAGCCAUGCCGCGUGUGUGAAGAAGGCCUUUUGGUUGUAAAGCACUUUAAGCGAGGAGGAGGCUACCUAGAUUAAUACUCUGGGAUAGUGGACGUUACUCGCAGAAUAAGCACCGGCUAACUCCGUGCCAGCAGCCGCGGUAAUACAGAGGGUGCGAGCGUUAAUCGGAUUUACUGGGCGUAAAGCGUGCGUAGGCGGCUGAUUAAGUCGGAUGUGAAAUCCCUGAGCUUAACUUAGGAAUUGCAUUCGAUACUGGUCAGCUAGAGUAUGGGAGAGGAUGGUAGAAUUCCAGGUGUAGCGGUGAAAUGCGUAGAGAUCUGGAGGAAUACCGAUGGCGAAGGCAGCCAUCUGGCCUAAUACUGACGCUGAGGUACGAAAGCAUGGGGGGCAAACAGGAUUAGAUACCCUGGUAG
rnacentral:rRNA from 1 species